UACGUAGGGUGCGAGCGUUGUCCGGAAUUAUUGGGCGUAAAGGGCUCGUAGGCGGUCUGUCACGUCGGGAGUGAAAACACGGGGCUUAACCCCGUGCCUGCUUCCGAUACGGGCAGACUAGAGGUAUGCAGGGGAGAACGGAAUUCCUGGUGUAGCGGUGAAAUGCGCAGAUAUCAAGAGGAACACCAGUGGCGAAGGCGGCUCUCUGGGACGGUACUGACGCUGAGACGCGAAAGCGUGGGGAGCGAACAGG
rnacentral:rRNA from 1 species